rnacentral:rRNA from 1 species
AACGAACGCUGGCGGCAGGCCUAACACAUGCAAGUCGAGCGCUUACCUUCGGGUAGGAGCGGCGGACGGGUUAGUAACGCGUGGGAAUAUACCCUUCACUACGGAAUAGCCUCGGGAAACUGAGAGUAAUACCGUAUACGCCCUUUGGGGGAAAGAUUUAUCGGAGAAGGAUUAGCCCGCGUUAGAUUAGGUAGUUGGUGGGGUAAUGGCCUACCAAGCCUACGAUCUAUAGCUGGUUUGAGAGGAUGAUCAGCCACACUGGGACUGAGACACGGCCCAG